rnacentral:tRNA from 1 species
UGGUGGUUCAGUGGUAGAAUUCUUGCCUGCCGUACAGGAGGCCUGGGUUCCAUUCCUGGCCA